UGUCUGGGGGGAAAUCGAACCCAUAGUGUUCGCUUACCAGGCAGAUGCCAUGUCCACUAGGCUACCCUGGAC